CAGUAGCCGCGGGAAUACCGAGGGUGCGAGCGUUAAUCGGAUUUACUGGGCGUAAAGCGUGCGUAGGCGGCUUCUUAAGUCGGAUGUGAAAUCCCUGAGCUUAACUUAGGAAUUGCAUUCGAUACUGGGAAGCUAGAGUAUGGGAGAGGAUGGUAGAAUUCCAGGUGUAGCGGUGAAAUGCGUAGAGAUCUGGAGGAAUACCGAUGGCGAAGGCAGCCAUCUGGCCUAAUACUGACGCUGAGGUACGAAAGCAUGGGGAGCAAACAGGAUUAGAUACCCCGGUAGUCCCUGUCUCUUAUAC
rnacentral:rRNA from 1 species